rnacentral:piRNA from 1 species
UGGUUUUGUCCUCUUUGGUUCUCACCUGC